rnacentral:rRNA from 1 species
CGUGGGUAACCUGCCCAAGAGAUCGGGAUAACACCUGGAAACAGAUGCUAAUACCGGAUAACAACAGAUGAUGCCUAUCAACUGUUUAAAAGAUGGUUCUGCUAUCACUCUUGGAUGGACCUGCGGUGCAUUAGCUAGUUGGUAGGGUAACGGCCUACCAAGGCGAUGAUGCAUAGCCGAGUUGAGAGACUGAUCGGCCACAUUGGGACUGAGACACGGCCCAAACUCCUACGGGAGGCAGCAGGG